rnacentral:lncRNA from 1 species
CAUAUGCUGACCUUGCAGAGUGCUGGCAGUGGUGCAUGACUUUAAUCCUAGUACUUGGGGGGCAGAGGCAGGGGAAUCUCUGUGAGUUCAAGGUCAGCCUGGUCUACAGAGGGAGUUCCAGGACUACACAGAGAAACUGUCUGGAACCACCCUCCAUAUCCCAUGCCCUCCCCUCCCCUGAAAAGAUACACUUUGUCUCCGUAGGUGCUUCAUGAGGUUAUUAAUUUUUUUUUUUUUGGCUUGAGAUUCUAGAUGAGAAUAGAAACUAUGCAUGGGCAAAGGUUUUAAUUUGUACUUGGAGGCAAAUUUAAGUCACUUGAAAAAGUAUGUAACGGACUGGAGAGGUAUUCAGCAGUUGAGAGCAUUUGCUGCUUUAGCAAAGGGGCACUGGUCCAAAGAUUAUCUCAGUAACGCAAUAAAGAAGUAGCUGUUGCUACUUUCAAGGAGACAAGGGCCUGAACAGAAAACUACAAAUUUUAGCCAUGUGGUGGUGGCUCAUGCCUUUGAGCCCAGGAGGCAGAGGCAAGUGGAUCUCUUGAGUUCAAGGCCAGCCUCGUCUCCACAGAGUUCCAGGAUAGCCAGGGUGACAUAGAGAAACCCUGUCUCAAAAAAAAAAAAAAGUCCUAAUUGGUGAAUAUAAGGAGCAAUCUUAAAGGUUCAUAUUCUGUAUGAUUUCACUUAGGGAUAUUCUGCAAAUGACAAA